rnacentral:lncRNA from 1 species
AGACUAGCAUCUUAGACUAGCAUCUUGGCAUAUGCUGGCUGGUUAGCAGCCCUAUAAAUAUGUAUCCCCAACCCCUCAGGUUGGUAUAGCAUUGUGUGAGAAAUAAACCCAGAAAAUUUCCCCAACUCAGUGUGCUAUCCUCUCAAUGAGAGUAAGGAUCCUGCUCACACCUAGAGCAAGGAUCCAGCGACUAACAGUUUCUGCAUAUAUGAUUGCACGACCAGACCAGUUUAUCCAAAUUCCAAUUGCCCAAGCAGUAUGCCAGAAUGACAGAGAUCCAGUUUUGAGUCUCAAAGGCAAUUAGGUAUUUAGGUCUAACCAAGUCUUUGUCCUUUCAACAAGUAUUUCAUGCAGGUUCUACCAAACAAUUAUGUACAAAAAGUCUAAAACACUAAACUGUAGAGAAACACAAUUUUCCCUAAUCAACUCUUCCUGUUCUAAAUCCAAACACCUCUGUGCAGGCGCUAUCUGCUAUAAAGUUCAAUAUUUUGAGAAUAGAUUCAACUUAGUCAACAAUUUAACCAUGGCUUCACGGCAUGUCAACACCAUGCACUCAAAAUAAAGCGAAAAUCUCAAAUGCAAACCUGUCAACUAUAACUAAGCCCUCUUAAUUGUCAAGAAAAAGAAUUAGUAUAACAGAUGAGCUGCAUAUGGUAUCAUUUUGAAACUAAAAAAAAUGCACAGUACAGACUACCAUUUCAAACUUAAAACAAAACUGCAAUGAGCUGGAUAUGGCCAUCCAAGAGUUUGCAUUAGGUCAGGAACAGUGUGACACUAAAAAGGAGCACAUUGAACUUGAGUAUUAGAACAUACCACCAAGGCUUUUAGCUGCGUUUUUCAAGCUCCCAGAAAAAUAUUGCUGAAGAACCUCUAAACUGAUAGUCUUUUCAGCUUUCCCACGUCUCCUUUCAGGGGGUUUGUUGGUUUUGUGAAGCAAUGAAGAAUCAGAAGCACCGCUACCAUUUGGCCUGCCAGCAGAAGUACCAUUGUCUUGAGAGUAGUCAUCAGUCAACAAUUGUCCCUCUGUCAAAUCCA